GUCAUAGACAACACAUAGACACACUGAUAUGUUAAUUUUUCAAGCUUUUUCCGGUUUGUCAUCACUCUCAAAUUACCAAGUCUAAGUAUACACACUGCACUCGUGCGACUGAUUCGACAAAUAGUGAUAGUGUUAUUGUUCUAUACCAAGUCACUACGCGUUCAAUUAUAAAUCAACACAGCGAAAAUCUGCCAUCCUGUCAUUACUAUUCUAUUCUAAGGUAAGUGAACAGCAGUAUAGUUAUUAUAAUUAAUUCAAUUCC